rnacentral:rRNA from 1 species
GGUGAACGCUGGCGGCGUGCCUAAUACAUGCAAGUCGAGCGAACGGACGAGAAGCUUGCUUUUCUGAUGUUAGCGGCGGACGGGUGAGUAACACGUGGAUAACCUACCUAUAAGACUGGGAUAACUUCGGGAAACCGGAGCUAAUACCGGAUAAUAUUUUGAACCGCAUGGUUCAAAAGUGAAAGACGGUCUUGCUGUCACUUAUAGAUGGAUCCGCGCUGCAUUAGCUAGUUGGUAAGGUAACGGCUUACCAAGGCAACGAUGCAUAGCCGACCUGAGAGGGUGAUCGGCCACACUGGAACUGAGACACGGUCCAGACUCCUACGGGAGGCAGCAGUAGGGAAUCUUACGCAAUGGGCGAAAGCCUGACGGAGCAACGCCGCGUGAGUGAUGAAGGUCUUCGGAUCGUAAAACUCUGUUAUUAGGGAAGAACAAAUGUGUAAGUAACUGUGCACAUCUUGACGGUACCUAAUCAGAAAGCCACGGCUAACUACGUG